rnacentral:rRNA from 1 species
CAUGUAGGCGGUUUUUUAAGUCUGGAGUGAAAAUGCGGGGCUCAACCCCGUAUGGCUCUGGAUACUGGAAGACUUGAGUGCAGGAGAGGAAAGGGGAAUUCCCAGUGUAGCGGUGAAAUGCGUAGAUAUUGGGAGGAACACCAGUGGCGAAGGCGCCUUUCUGGACUGUGUCUGACGCUGAGAUGCGAAAGCCAGGGUAGCAACG